GUGCUCACUUCGGCAACACAUAUACUAAAAUUGGAACGAAACAGAGAAGAUAAGCAUGGCCUCCCCCUCAUGAGGUGAAAACUCACAUUUUU
ensembl:snRNA U6 U6 spliceosomal RNA